ensembl:ncRNA F13D11.13 ncRNA
CCCUUUUUCCGCAAGCUAUCCGCCUGCGGCAACGCGGACGUUCGUUAGGAGACGAGUGACCACCAUGCGUGUAGAAAAGAGUGCGCGGUACCAGGCACGGACAGCGGUUUGCUGAGUGACCACACCACUUCUUC